rnacentral:lncRNA from 1 species
UGUACCUAGAUAAAAUUUAUCGAUCUUGAUAGAAAAAGAGCAGUCCUAUGUGAUUUACAAGAUUGAGUUCAGAAAGUCUUUGAUCAAAGCAAGUAUGAAUACUAUAAAAAAAUUUUCAUGGGAUUCACAAAUAAACUCGAGUCGAGCUAAUCUUACAUAAGAUUGACGAUGGGGUUUGACGAGUUCUCCAUUACCUCCCUCA